UUUUGGAUUGAUAUGAUAUUAAUAAUAUCUUACGUGAAUAUUUAUUUCAAUGGUGCCAAACUAGAGUUGAUAUUAUAAAAUGUUGACAUACUGAGUUGAUUUUUGGACUCACUUAUACAAAUAUUAAAUGGAUCUGUUAUUUUCUUACUUAUUUGAUUGUGAGCGUUAUAUUCUCAUCCAUACAUACACAUUCAUAUGAGAUAUUAGUUCAAUUGAGGAACAUUGAUUUUUUAAAAGAAAACAAGAUAUUUUUAAAAAUGCCAUGUACUUGUUGGGUGGAUUGAGUUAUGAUAUUGAGAUUGGUGGGAACUUUGAGAUAGUAUACGAGUAGUGAGUCCCCCAUGGAUCCUACUUGGGGAGCCUUGAGACUCGAUAAGUGUAUACAGAAAGUAAUGUGAUGACUUUCAAUAUAUAUAUAUAUAUAUAUAUAUAUAUAUAUAUAUAUAUAUGAGUGGAGACUGUGUGAGCUGCCGUUUGGGAACUUUUCUGUUUGCAGAUGACAUUCUAGUAUGAGCACGACAUGCGGUGACUGAUUUCAAGAUGAUUUGAGUUGGUGAUUUCGAGGUAUUGGCACACUCUUGGGCUUUCGGGGUUGACUCCAGGCCAUCUCUAAUCUAUUUUGAUGUCUUUAUUAGUUUUGAUAUGUAACCAGUUGUACUUCGAUAUUUCAGAUGUAUUUACUAGAUGCUCUACACUUAUGACACCAGAUUUUGAGAAUUUUAUGUAUUUUGUUUAAACUUCCACUAAAUUUACAUAUGUUUUGAC